AUUUAGUGUUUAUGAAACUAAUCAUUACAACAUAUUGAAUACAUAGAUUGUGUUACAGAUUCCAUCUGUUUACCUCAAUAUGAACACAUUUUAAAUUAAAUUCCUAAUUUUGUCCUCUCUUUUUUUCCUACAGGUAUAAGAGGUGAGAAUUGAAUCAAGACUACUUGAAAGCUAAAUGUCUCCACAUAUUUUGGAAGAAACUCCAGGUAUUUGUCUUACUUUAAGGAGUAAUAUUUAGUAAUCAAGUAUAUGACAUAUUUACUUUUAAUAAGGAGCUUGAAAUGAGAUAUUAUCUAGUAUAAUUUUAGUUGAUCUUUAUUGUGUGAUCAUGGGUGUUUUAUUAUUCUAUUUUCAAUUUAUGAAAUUUAAAUUCAAAUAUAAUAUGAAUAUGAAAUAAUUAAAUUUCAUCAAAUGUUUUUAAUUAGUGGCAAAAGAUUUUAACAUUUUGCGAUUACUAUGUAUAACUUUUCAAGACACUGUCACCACAAAUUAAAUUAGUUUGUCAUAAUCUUAAUACAUUUGGUGACAAUAUAUUUGUUCUAGUACCCUCCUUAUUGAAUAUGAAUUAAUUUAAUGUUUUAUGAUGUCAAUAAAAAUCAUACUUUUAAUGAGAAGAUGCUAUAUUCGACUACAAAAUUGUUAAUCUUCAUUAGAGUGAUAAACUUGUCACUAAUUUAUACAUUUAAGGACGAAAUACUUUUUUGUAUAUAAAAGGUAGUCAUUAGGGACGAAAUAUCUUUUGUUCUACUAUGAAAUAUAUAAAAUUUUAGAGACGAUUGGUAUCGUCACUAAUUGAACUAAAUAAUUAGUAACCAAAUAGUUUUGUCGGUGUUAAUAAUGUUUUUAGUGACAAAAUUACUCUUAUCAACUACCAAAAAAAACACAUUUUAUGACGGUCAAAUUCGUCACAAAUGAUAUGCAUUUUGUGGGUUUUUUUUGUAGUUGAUGGAAUUUCUUUAGUGACAAAACACUAAAUCGUCUCUAGUGACCCACCUUUAGUGACAACUGACUGAUGAAAAUUUUUUUCGUCUCACAAAUUUUUUUUUGAGAAAAUAUUCUUUAUAAAUAACGAAAUAAUUUGUCCCUUAUAAUCAUAUUUGUUGUAAUAGAUUUCACUAUUUCCUUUCAGUUUCGUCUUAAAAACCCAUUUGACUCCGAUGAUUUUGUGAGCUUUUGAAUAUUUGUUAACUCCCAAGUGUUAUUUCCUUCAAUAGAAUCAUGUCAUCCAUAGCUUUUCUCCAUUUCUCCUCUUUGAUAGCAUUCUCAAAAGUUGUAGGAUCACAGUCUGCAAACAAAGCAAAGUGGGGAACAACUGCAUUAGCAAGAAUUGUUGUUACCCUAUAAUCCAUCAUCUAUGUGGGCCUUAUGCAAGCACAACUAAAAGGCUGAUCAGGUGCAUUAGUUUCUUCCAAAACUUGUGAUGAAAUAUCAUAGCCUGCUUCAGUAGAAAUUUCAGCAAAUUUGGGUGUUGCAACUACUUCUUCGACUUCAUUAUUAAUUAGGAUUGGAGUAGACUGAUGUAUAUUCCAAUAUCAAGUAUUCUCCUCAUCAAAAACAUCUCUUCUAGUUACAACCUUCUUUGUCAAGGAUUGAAUAACUUGUAUGCUGCAUAUGGAGAAAAUGGUGUGCUAGCAUUUGAUGCAAAAAAUGAGGUUGCAGCAGUUGUACUUGUUCCUAUUCCACCUGGGAGAUAUGGAGUUUUGACUCAGGUAAAGGAUGAGCUAUCCUAUGUAACUGUUUACAACGAUUGCGGGGAUGUUUUUAUGUUAGAUAUGUAUGGAGGAAUGUAUAUGAGUCUUAAUCGUAGUGUGUGCGUAAAUCUUGGACACAAGAAGUCUCGGCAAACAUUGGAGAAAGAUCCCUUUGUUGACAAUGGUACUGUAUUGUGCAACGUAUUACCGUGUAAAAAUAGUGGUGAUUACAUUGUGGUGAUAUACAUAACGGAAAGGAUAUAUCUUUAUUACCUGAAUGGGCAGAAGGUGGAGAUCUACUACUAUAACUCCAGGAUAAUUAAAUCCGUAGAGAAGAUUCAUACCGUACACAAACAGCCUAGCUGCGAUACAUGAGCUGAAGAAGUAGCUAUUUUUUUGUUGUCAAGUAGAAAUCUCAUGUUUAGUUUCAUCUUCUUUUGUUUUUAUAUGACUUGGAUUGCAGUUAAGCUGUUUUUGUAAUAUACAUGUUUUGGAUUGCCAAGGUAGUUUGAACGUUUUUUCCUUCACUCAUUUUAAAUUAUUUCUUGCUUUAUUGCUUGUUUUUACUUGUGAGUUCCUUUCUACUGCUACAUGAGCUGAAGAAGUAGUUGUUCUAUUGCUGAUCAUACCGCACAUUUCAUCGUCAAAUUUAAAUGGUAGCAGUAGAAAGGAACUCACAAGUAAAAACGCGCAAUCUAGUAAGAAAUAAUUGAGAUUAUUUUUCCAUUCCUUUCCAAAAUUCCAUAAUCCCUUCCCGAACCAAACAUGAAUCUUUCGGUUCAUUUGGCUCUCACGCUCAAUUACUUAAGGUGAAAAAAAGUCCUUGGACACGUAAUGGAUCUUGAAGUACUAUUUCUGUACCCAUAGAUCUAUAUGAAAAAUAGAUAUAUGAAAAUUCAAGAAAUUCGUUUUCAAAAACCCGGGAUUUCAGAGGCGAACGACGACAUAAAGGCGAAGUUUACUGAAAUAGUGUACUUGUACUAUAAAUACUAUAAAGAAAAGAAGAAUGGGAUGAAUUAGAUAAAUAUACAUAACCCCUUCUAAUAUAUAUAUAUAUAUAUAUAUAUAUAUAUAUUUAUAUAUAUAUAUAUAUAUAUAUAUUAUAUAUAUAUAUAUAUAUAUAUAUAUAUAUAUAUAUAUAUAUAUAUAUAUAUAUAUAAUUCUUUGCUGACAUAAUUGGAAGUUCCUAUAAUAAAUUGAUAGCUUUUGGAAAAGGAGGAAGGCACAAUUUCAAAAUGAGUGAGGAAAAACGUUUAGACUACAUUGGCAAUCCAAAACAUGUUUAUUACAAAAACAACUUAAUCUGCAAUCCGAGUCAUAUAAAAACAAAAGAAGAUGAACUUAAACAUGAGAAUUUUCCUUGACAGCAACAAAACAACUACUUUUUCAGCUCAUAUAUCGCAACGAGACUGUUUGUGUACGGUAUGAAUCUUCUCUUAGGAUUUAAUUGUCCUGGAGUUAUAAUAGUAGAUCUCCACCUUCUGCCCAUUCAAGUAAUAAAGAUAUAUCCUUUCAGUUGUGUAUAUCACCACAAUGUCAUCACCACUGUUUAUAGACGGUAAUACGUUGCACAACAUAGUACCAUUGUCAACAAAGGAAUCUUUCUCCAAUGUUUGCCGAGACUUCUUGUGUCCAAGAUAUAUGCACACACUACAAUUCAGACUCAUGUCCAGUGCUCCGUACAUAUCUAACAUUAAAACAUCCCCGCAAUCGUUGUAAACAGUUACAUAGGAUAGCUCAUCCUUUACUUGAGUAAACACACCAUAUCUCCCAGGUGGAAUAGGCACACGUACAACUGCUGCAACCUCAUUUUUUGCAUCAAAUUCUAGCACACCAUGUUUUAGUAAUACCAAGAAAAACACAUUUAUAACCUCUAUUAUCAAGCUUCUUUAUUUUUGCUUUUGAAAUAUGUGCAUAAGCAAUGGAUCCAAAAUUUUUGAAGUGGUCUACUAUUAAUUUCCUUCCGCUCCAAAUUUCCUAUGGUAUUACAUCUCGAAGAGCAAAAGUAGAACUUCUGUUUAAGAUAAGAAUGCUCCUGUUAGGUACAUAUUUUUAUGUAUAUUUUGAAGACUGACAAUCCGGUGUAUUAUGGAGCAAGUUGAGCAAAUGUGAAUUAAGUCGGGAAGGCUUACUGGAAGAGGAAAUAGGAGGCUAUCAUAAAGUAGGAAAACAACAACCUAAUUAGAUAAGGAAAUAAGCAUAAGUUUAUAGUUAUUAUAAUUCAUUCAUAGAAGGAAAAGCUAUUUCCUGCUUGGUUAAGGAACUAGUUUGAGGCGGUCAAUACAAAGAAGGAAAACUAUUUUCUACUUGUUUAAGGAAAUAGUUUGAGGUUGCAUAGUAUAUAAGGAAAAUCACGUAAGAAGUUUUCUUUAAAUGCAAAGUACAAAGAGAAGUCCUAAUCCUACAAAGUUUUGUUCCAUCGGGAAAGACAAUGAUGUUCGAGUUGAAGAUGCGGCAAAGUUAUGUUCUAGUUGAAGAAAGAAUUGAAGAUGGGACAAAGACAAGUUCCGCACAAUGUAGGAAUUCUACGCAUGAGCUUCUAAGUUUCAAAUGAAAAAGGCAGCAGAGCACAUGUGGAUUUCUAGUUAAAAUAGGUUUUGGAUUCAAGUCUAAAUCUAUAAAUAGGACGAUAGUUUCGCUUGAGAACAAUCACGCACUUACAUAGAGAGAAGAUCAAAACACGAUCAAGAGUUUUGAAUGCGACAAAAUAUUGUGUCAUUAUUUUAUUUAUUUAACAUAACGUAACUAUUGUAAUCUACAAAGGAAUAUAUAGAAAAUACUUGUUCCUUAGGAAAAUUUGGGGGUCAGAAUUCCAACAGCUCCAUUUCACUGUUUUGGCAUAAAUUCCUCUGGAAAUCUUCCCCGAGCCAGCAAGCUACAAACCAUGUUUAAAAAUGAUUCCAUUCUUCCUCUCUAUCACACUAUUUUGUUGUGGUGUAUAUGUUGUUGAGAGAUCUUUUUAAAUGUCAUGAGUCUCACAAAAUUCAUCAAAUACCUUAGAGCAUUAUUCUCCUCCGGGAUCUAUCAGAAUGUUCUUAGUUACCCUUCCAAUCUAAUUCUCCAGACGUACUUUGAAGCUUUUAAAUACAUUAAAAGCCUCCAAAUUUUCUUUCAGAAUAUACACCCCAGUCUAACUGGAAUAAUCAUCAAUAAGGGUAAUAAAAUACUGUUUGCCCCAUUAGAGAUUGGUGUUAAUGGCCCACAGAUAUCCAAGUGUGCUUACCCUAAUACCUCCUUGGAUCUCCGUGACUUACUGUUAGGAAACUGAAACGAUGUUGUUUUCUAACAACACAUUCUUCACAAACUUGAGAUGGAACAACAAUUUCAUAAAGCCCCAUCACCAUACUCUUCCUUUGAAGGAUCUUCAAGCCACCAAAAUUCAAGUGUUCAUAUAAAAAAUGACAUGAAGGAAUUUUCAAUUCCGCCACGUAGCAUGAUUGAACAUUUUCAAUUUUCAAAGGAAACAAACUGUUUUGAUUCAUUUUCACAAAAUUAAUAACUCAUCUGGGUGACUAGAAAUCUCACAUGUAUCAUUCCUUAACGUGAUGGCAUACCCUUUUUUGUAACAGCUGAUGGGGACAACACUCAACAGAGUUGAUACGAUUUCCACACACCUAUUUUUUGUUUUAGAAUUGAUAUUGUACCUUUUCGCAUCACAUUCACUAUUGAUAGAUCACCAAAACUAUCUAUUCACCAAUAGUUUUCACUUAAAUUAGUAAAAGCAGACUUACUUCCAAUCAUAUUGUUACUACAAGAGGUAUUCACAUGUGUACCAAAUAACUUGCUCCCUGAGCUCACUUUAACAUGAACCGCCAUUAACAAGGUUUCUCCUUCCUUAUCCUCAACAAAAGUUGACUUUUCUUCUUUCUGAUUAGGUAGCCUAGUACGAUAUUCAGAAUGACAAUGACUAAAUUUAUAGCAAGGAUAACAUUCUACAUUGGAUUUUUUUAAAUCUCUCCCUAUGCCUUUGUCGUAGUCAUCAUGGGCUCUAAAAUUACAGAAGGCAAACACACAUAGAGCUAUAAAAUCUUUCAAAAAAAGUUAGUAGAAACCAUACUUAUCGAACUACUAGUGUAUGUUGUUACAAGACAUCCUACAAUGAUUGAGGCACUUCAUGUACCCGGAGACAUCCCUAGAAACAUGGUGCAACGAUGGAGGCACUUCAUACGAAAAUAUUGAGCUGCUCCAACUAUGAAGUAGUCCCGGCGAUGACAUGUCCAUAACCAUCAGACCUCCCACUGCCUGAUUUCCGACAAAAUUGCUCAUUUCCUUCAAUGUCAACUUAACAUUUCUAAUAGAAUCGCUAAAAUUUCCAAUCAAUUCAUUGCCAAGUGGAUUUAAGCAAUAAAAACCCAUAUGGAAUGGGUUCGAUCCUAGAGCUUCCCGAGACAAUCUCCCGAGGUUGACUUAAACGUUCAAGAUGCAUUGUCAAAAUUCCCCAUCAGUUGACUCCCGGGUUGACCGAAGCUAUUUGGGUCCAUCUAAUAUAAUUUCAAACGUAGCUUUGACCCGAGACAGCUAAGAAGGUACUUAGGCGUUUGAAAUGCAUCAUCAUCGGUAGGGUUUGGAAAAGUAUCAUCGAAUGAUGCAUCAAAAAAAAGUUCUAAAAUUUCAAAGAAAUUUAUCUACGUUUUUUUCAAAUGUUGCAGUCAUGUUUAGGACAUAAAAAGUAUGUUGUGGUCAUAUGUAGGACGUAAAAAGUAUGUUGCUUUGACGUUUUCUAAAAUUCAACUUUCUAUCUUAAUUUCUAGUUAGACUAGUGCUCCUGAUUUAACUAGAAAGAUUCAUUUAAAAAGAUAUACAAGCCAUUGAACUCUAGAUUAUGAACUUCUAAGUGCGAAAUAUACAGGCAUAGAAAAAAUAAAUAGAACUAAAUACACAUAAUCAACUGAUGAAACUACCUUACAAUUCUUUUUUUUGAAACUUUAAGAAUCUUAAUUUUUGUUUCUAAGAUAUGAUAUCUAAAAAAUCUAAUAUAUCAAUUUGAACAAUCUCGAAAGAUAAAAUAUAUAAAACAAAAGUAAAUGCAAGUUUCCUCUCUAUUCCUACGCUCUCUCUCUCUCUCACUAAAUCUGUGAUCAAUUGCUAAAUACUUUUUACGCCGCACACAAGACUGCAACAUAUCAAGAAAAUAUUGAGGAUUUUCCUAUGAAAUUUUGGAACAUUGAUUUCUCAACUGAUGUCAUCAUUUUUGACGCAUCAUUUAAUGAUAUUUUUCAAAACCCUACCCAUAAUGAUGCAUUUCAUACACCUAGAUACAUGCCUUACUAUCUCGGGUCGGAGUCAGGUUUGGACUCGGGUCAGAUGGAACUAAAUAUCUUUGGCAAUCGAUAGGGUUUUUUGAUGAUGCUUUUGGAACUAUGAAGUCAACCUCAGGAGAUUGUCAAAGGGGAAGAGCUACAGGAUCAAACCUGCUCCAUAUGGACCCUAGUUGAUUUUACUCAACUUGCGAGUGAAUUAAUUAGGAAUUUUAGAGAUUCUUCUAGAAAUUUCAAGUUGACGUCGAGGGAAAUGAGCAAUUUUGCCCCCAAUCAGGAAGCGGUAGUUGAGAUGGUUAAGGACAUGUCAUCUCCAGGGCUACUUCGUAGUUGGAGAAGCUCAGGAGUUUUGGAUGAAGUGUAUGUGUUAUUGAGCCAGAUUUCUACCCAUGUCUCCGGGUACUUGAACAUGCCAUCAGCAAAUUGUGGUUCCGGUCUCUCAAAAGGGUUGAAUAAUCUGUUGAGUUCUAACAGAUUGGUACAUUCUUCCCCUAAGUUAGGAAGUAAUUCAACAAAAGGUGGAGUUGUAGAACAGAAAUUCAAUGCUAAUGUAGUUAUUUGUUGAAAAGGAAAUAACAUAGUAAUGACUCGAAUACUGUAAACAAACAAAAAAAUCCACUAUAUUUUUCUUGAGUGAUAACGUUAAUAAUGAUGAGGAAAAAAAGGAAGAUGGCUAGAAAAACGGGGGAAGUGCUCACUUGUCAAGGCAAUCAAAAAAGCAUUAUGUUAAGGAGUUAGAAUAAUUCAUUCAACAUUUGAAUGCAAAUAUAUCGUAUGAAAUAACAGAAAAUGUAACUCUAAAGGAAACACUUGGAGCAGCUGGUGUAGCUCCUCAAGUGCAGCAACCCCCCGAGAUGUAUCCCCAUCCUCCUCCAUGGAUGUCAUGUACACCACCUUAUAUAACGAAGCGACUAGGAUAGUGACUACGGUAGGCAGUUGUGCCCGCCCAACAAGUAGCAAGAAAGUGGAGAAAAAGAAAAGUGAGAUGAAAACAAAGAAGGUUGCUACUGUUAUCUUCCUUGGUGAGUUGUUCUUCAUGCUUCUUUUUGGUGGGUUAGUUCCUUCAUUGAAAGUGAGAUAUGGAGGUAUGAGGGAACCAUUUAUGAGUGGAGAUUCUUGUGAGUGGAUUUUUUGGUAACAUCAUGGAAGAGUUUUGACUGUUGACGGGCCUGUGAAUGGGACUGGUUAUUCUGGGAAAUACGGUGGACUUGAUCAUCACUUACAUUGUGGCUAGGGAGAUUUUGUGAAAUCAAUAAAAAAAAUACCAAUAAAGCUGCAAAUAAGUUUGUUUACAUGGGAAAUGGCAGUGAUCCUAUUUUUGCCUCUUUGUACAUACCGAGUAAUGAUAAAAUUAUCAAUAUUCACUAAAACUCGAUAAUUCAGCCUGCAUUUGCAAGUGAAAAAGCCAUGACAUCUCAUGGAAGUGCUGAUAAGAAAAAUGAUGAGGUAGACCUCACAGUUCCUGGAGAUUUAGCCAUCCUUGCCUUUAUCGAAGUCCUGCAGCGGGACAAAAAACUCUUGGAUCCGAACAUAGAAGAAAAAGGGAAAUUACAAUCCUAUUUUGUUAUACAAAGACAAAUCUAAAUACGUAAAACAAAAAAGAAAAUAGGAGAACUUACCUGGGCAAAUUAAAGCUUGUCAUGUCGGUGAUUUAAGCGUAGAACGGUGGUGGAUAAGAAUUUGGAACACACUACAACAAGCAAAUCUACUCAUCACAUUUGAAAUCAGAGACAUCUCAAAUAUCAACCCUAACCCAAAGCAUGAAAUAAAAUAAUUAUAACAAAAGGGGAGAAUCUUUAUAUAAUCUCAUAUAUAGAAACACAAUAAAAGGAGAAAGCUUACCAAUCAGAUCUAGUAACAAAUAGAGAUUAGAGAGAUGUCUGACUUCAUAUAGGAACAUUUGAUUUUGUGCCCCUUUUGAGUCAAAAAUUAAGGAAUUAAAUAUCUUACUUGAUAUAGGAACAAUUUUUGUUUUCUUUUUAAAAUCCAAUUAUACACAAUUUGAAAAGAAGUAAAUUUUACCAACGACAUUUCUUACAAUUAUAUUAGGGCAAAUGGUCAAAUAUUACCCUGCUUUUAUUGGAAAUAUUUUAAAUAGACACUUUGUUAUACUUUAAGUCCAAAUAUACCCUUCUGAUUAUACUUUGACACAAAUUUACCCUCAAUUUUAAUGAAAAAUACGUGACAAGCUCAUAAUCAAAUAACCCAUCUCGAAUUCAAAUAUUUAAUGUUUUAAGAAACUCAUUUCCUCCGUUUUGAAUUCUUUUCUAUGCAUCUUCUUCUUAAAAGAAGUUAAUAAUUUAUCGUAUUCAAAAACUAAUAUGAUUUUUCUUUCUUUCUAAUUGAGGUUCUUAUAAAUAAAAAAUUAUCAUGCUUAACCUCUUCGAAAAAGUGUCAAUAUUAAUCAAAGAAAAUACACUAUUGAGAUAUGCUCUAAGAGUUUCCAGCAUUCAAAAAUCGAUGACUUCCUACGUUCAUUAAUUUUCUUGUACUUUUAUAAUAGUACGAAGAUGUGGUGUUCAAUGAUUAAUUUUAUAGAAAGGGAAAAUGACAACUACCCCCUAGACUAUGACCGAAAUAACAGAGACAUACCUUAUGUUCAGAUUAUGUCAUUGCUCAGUUAUGCUAUGUCCGACCUAUAUAUUUGUAUAAAUAUUAUUGGUAUCCUGUAUGCCCAGUACAUUCCAAGUACUAACACGUACUUUACGCUACAUUCUUUCAUGAUAUAGGUUCAAAUAUUCAGCAUCUAGAUCACGCAUAAAUUUGUAUCGAGUAGCUUCAAUGAUGAGUCCUCAUACUUUGAGGACAAUAGACAUAUUUUAUUCAUAUUCAGUCUUUUAGUUCAGUCUUAAGUUUUGCUAGGGUUAGCUGGGGAAUGUCCCAUUAACUCUAGAUCGGUAGAUUCUUAUUAGACAUAGUAUUAGAUUAAGCUUUAGCUUUGAGUGAAUGUGUAGUAUCUCUGAACCCUUAACAAGUUAAAUACAUUCAUAUCAAUUUUGGGUAUUCUCCACCUUCAGUUAUCACUUGAUUUAGCUUCCGCAUUAGUUCAUGUUUUUCUUAGAGAUUCUUAGUAUGCUUAUGAUAUGCAAGCCUCACGGUUAGCUUGGGUUACUCGUGAUCCUAGGUCCCGUGUUACAUCAAAGGAGUAGCCUCCGGACAUGACAAUUCACAAAACUAUGUUAAUUGACUAUAAAGUAACACAAUCAAAAUCUUGUUUACAAAGUAAUAAUCUUUUAGCAAUCUUUAUUUAAAUUACUUGUAUUUAAAAAGAAACAUAUUGCUAAACUAUUCAAUUAUUAUCAAACUCAGCAGGUAUUAAUAAAAGUUUUAUCAACUAAGCAUCACUUAAAAGAAUAAUAACACAUAAAGAAAUUCCAUAACAAAAUAAUACAAAAUUACAUAAAAAUAUGGGUUCAUACCAAAUUUAUUUUGGACAACCAUACCUUAACUCCAAAAUGGAAAGAAAAACUUAUAAUCAUAAGCGAUCUACAUAACAAAGUUCUAAAGGAAGAUAAAAUGGUCAAAAGUCCCCUUAAUCUAUAGCCAACUUUCCAACCACACGCAUGUAUGCAAGGUAGCAUAUGCCAAAUCUCUCCACCCUUAUAAUCCCAAAAUAGAUGAGCCACUACCACCUCUCCACUAGAUUCAUUAUUGUAAAUUUCUUAACAACUCUCAUGUAAGAAUUUUGAAAAAAAAAAUCAAAUCUACCAUCUCCAAUCACCAAAAAAUAAUUUCAACCAAAUUAGACUCAUAUUGGUCUUUGUGAUGGUAUGAAUAUUCUCUUUUUCGAGCUUUUUCAUUUGAAAUAAAUGGUGGAGAGUUCUUUGAGUAAGUGGAGGAGCUAAUGGUGAAGUCGGAUAAAUUACAAAGGCAUAGGUGGAGAUGGUGGCGGCAGCAAAAUUUUAAGACUAUGUUGCCGGCGACGACAUAUCCCUCCCGAGAGACAAAGAGAGCCCCCAAUUUAAACCCCAAUACUUCUCCAAAUCAAAGUUCUCACCAAAUAGUUAGUGCUAAAAUAUGAAUGAAGAACAAAGGUUUAAGAAGACAUAAGUUAGAGAUAUUAUAGUAAUUUAACAUUCAGGUUAGGAGUACAUGUUUUUAAGGUAAAUAUAGAUAUAGAUAUAUAUAUUUAGUCUAUAUAGAACAAUUUUCGCAACUUUCCAAAUUCUCCAUAAUUUGGUCAUUCAUCACUAACUAGAAUUGAUGAUUAUUGCCAAUUAAUUUAAUAUUUAAAAAAUAAAAAACAUCAUAAACUUAAUAAGUAACUGUAAUAUGUUUUUUAGAUAUUUUAUUAUUUAUUUAACUAUGUGUUAUUAAUGGUUUUAUUGUAGUAAAUCAACUUUAUAGGGGUAUUUUGAUAUUUGAUUUUUAACUUUUUUCCCACUUAUAUAUUCUAGUUUUGACGUACGUGCAUUGCACGUGAAUAUAAAAUCAAGUACCACACUAUUUUUCCAUCAUAAAAAAAAUAUAAGAUAUACUAAAUAGGAUGUUUUAAGAAGAACAAGAAUGAAUAUUCUUUUAAAAAAUGUAAUUUGAAAAUUUGAGGAAGCCCCUAUUUUUAUAUGCAACAAAGGGUAGCUUAUGGAAAAGUACUUAUUGUGCGUUAUCAAAAGAGAUGUCACAAUCCUAUAGAAAACUCACAUAAAUAAAUAAAAUACAAUAUAAAAAACAAAAAGAUGUACUACAUUUGGUGUUUUAAGUUAGGUAAUAUAGACAUAUAAAAAAUAUAGAUAUAGAUUGGUCUAAUCUUAAUUUGAUAUGAAAUUUUACAAAAUAAAGAAGAAUUUUAAUAUAAGGAGUAUAUGUUGAAUAUAUAAAUAUGUCUUUUAACUUUAUGGUCUUAUUUAUGUGCCCCACACCAAAGAAAAAAUAACAUUGUAUAUAAAACUAAAUAAAAGUAAAAAUACACUUAAAAAUCUGAAAGGAAAGAGUACUUACUAGAUGUAGUUUGGACUCUUCAAAUAUGUUUUGAUCAAAUACUUUUUCUCCAACAGUUUAAUACUUUUCAGAUUUUGAAAACCAAGUGGUAGUUUUUGUUACAGAAAAUCAUUGAUUUUCUUGUCAAGUAGAAGUUGCUACAAAAGUAUAUUUUAUUGUUAUGAAAAUGAGUAAGUAUGAAUUAUCAAAAUACUCUUCUCAUUUGAAGUUGAGUUAUUUCAUUCUCUUUGUCGAAUCAAUAAUCGGUGAUCUAUCUAAUUUACAAUCAAAAAAAUAUUGUAAUUGCAUGAUUGAAAAACUCUCACAGUCUUCCUUAUUUUAAAAAGAAGAAUAGAAAACCAAAAAUAUUGCAAUUGCUUGAUUGAACAACUCUUACAAUCUUCCUUAUUUUAAGGAGAAGAAUAGAAAACUUAUAAAAUUUGUAGUUUAAAAGUGUGAGAAACACCCUCUAUUUUAAAGACAUGAAUGGAUAUUAUGAAGGUUCUUAUUGCGUCUUUUGAGAGAAGUCACAAUCCUUUAGAAAAAUCACAACUUUUUGAAAAUGUCAUAACUCAUCGAAUAAGUCACAACACUAUUAAAAAGUUGCAACCUUUCGGAAGAGUAACUGGCCAUCAAUGUGAAAAUGUGUAUGCAUUUAAUAUAAUAUAGCGUAAAUAAAUAUAAUAUUAAAUAUGUAACAUAUAUACUAAAUUUAGUGUUUUAUGUUGGGGUAUUUUAGUAAUUUGACAUUCAAGUUACGGAGUUCAUGCUUUUAAGGUUGUGUGUGUGUGUAUUUAUAUAUAUUAUCCGAUGAUAUGAUUAAUAUUACCAACAAAAACAAUCUUACAAAAUUAAUUUUGAAACUUCAAGAAUCUAAAUUUUUAUUUCUUAGAUAUGAUAUCUACUAAAUCUAAUAGAUCAAUCUUAAGAUCAUUGAAAAAUAAAACUAUAAAAGAAAUGUAACUUUAUGUUUCCUUUCUAUUCAUACCUUGUCUCUCCCUAAAUCUCUUAUCAAUUGCUGAAAAACUCUAGAUAUGGCCGAUCCACCACCGGUGGAAGAAGCGAACUUCAUCGGGUGUUCGACGGACUUGCAGCUAUACCUCUUGACCGUACUUUUUACGCCCUACACACAACAUACCAAGAAAAUGUUGAAGGUUUCCUUAUGGAAUUUCCAAAUGUCAAUUUCACAACCGAUGCCAUCAUUCUUAUUGAAUCAUUCAAUGAUAGUUUUCCAAACACUAUCAAUGAUGAUGCAUUUCAAAACCUAAUAGUUUGACAGACUGUCUCGGGUCGAAGUCAGGUUUCGCCUAAAGUCAAAUGAACCCGAAUAGCUUUGGUCAACCUAAGAUUCAAUUGUUGGGGAGUUCUGAUUCAUCUAGAAAACUCAAUUCGACCUCAGGAUUGUUAACACCCAAUUUUGGUUUAAGAUUUUCAAAAAAUUGUAAUUUUGGGCCACAAUACUAAGCCCGUCAUUUGAGCCCAUUUUGUGUUUUUUUUAUUUAAGUUAUUAACUAGGUCAAAAUAUGUGGGGGGGGGGGGAGAAUUAAUUUUCAGGAAAAAAAAAGGAGCCCGCUCUCCACAGCCGCCAGCCCCUCCCCUUUCUCCCUUCCUUCCCUUUCCCUUUCCCAGCCGCCUCUCCUCCUCCCCUUUCUCCAUUCAACUUCUCCUCCAAACACCCCCUAACCGCCUCCCUCUCACAGACCAGCCGCCCCCUUUCCUCUUCCUCUCCCCUCUCUCUUCUCUCCACAGCCGCCUCCCUUCCCGUCGCCCCCUUUCCUCUCCCUUUUUCCCUCUCCCGUCAGCCUCUCUACCUCCCUAUUCUCCCCCUUUCCCUCUUCUCUUCUUCCUUCCUUUCGGCGUAAAACCACCAGAACUUCAUCAGAAAACAGCUUAAAAAUCGUUCCAACGUCUCCACUAGACAGCAUACAAACAACUUAAAAACACCCCCUACCACCCCAUCUGAUCGGGUCUUCAACUUCGCUGCCGGACCCGCCACCCUCCCGGAAAAUGUCAUCCAAAACCCCUCUGUGGAGUAGUGCUCGGAAGAUAAAGAGAAGGAGGUGAUUCAUGUUGGUUUGUUAAGUUUUAAGUUUAGCGGGAAAAAAAAGGGAAAUGGUGGAAGGGUAAACUGAGGGAAGCAGGAAGCGAUUGAGAAUCCGAGAUGCAGUUGAAGAGUUCAUAUUCAUAUUGAUUGUUGUUUUUUUUGUAUAAGGUUUAAUGGCGUUUUAGGGUUUCGGGAAGAAUACAGGCCCCAUUGCCUCUCCUAAAGCGCAAAUCCCUUUUGGGAAUUCUCGCACUCCUUCUACCAGUGAUAGUCUUCCUAAAUGGGGUAAUGGACACAAAUACAUCUACCAUGAUUAUGAUGCCCAAGCCCACACUACAACAACAACUCUACAAUGCCCAACAAUGGUUAGAACUCAAACCGAACCCUUUAAUUUUGUUCUUAAUGUUGAUUAGUAUUAAUCUAUGUUUUCAUUUUUUUGUGGAUUGUUUACAUUAUAUAAUUUUAUUCUUGCUUUAUUUAUCUGUUUUAUUUUGUUGUUGUGAUGUUCACUUAGCUAUAUUAAUGGGUAAUUUCAUAUUCAUAGUUAGAAAUUUAUAAUUUGUUUGCGUUCAAUUCUUUUAAUUCUCUAUUGGUGGGUUAUAAUUAUUAACUAAUUGGUUUUAGUUUUAUUUUUGUUAUUAGUAGAAAUGAUACACAUGCUUCUGCUAGAAUCCUUUCUUUUGUUCAUUUGUGUCACUUUUAUCAUAUCUGGUUUAAGUUUUCACAUUUAAAAUUUAUAUGUUAAUAUAAUAUGUAUGGUCAUUGUGUUUAUUGGUUUCUUUAUUUUUAUUUUAGUUUUCCUCAUUUUUAUACUAAUGGUUUCUCCAUUUGCUUAUUGUUUAUUGAUGUUUCAUAAUUGUUUCGUCUCUUGUAUUGAUGUUAUAUUAUUAGAGGACUAAUUUGAAAAUUCUUGAUUUCUUAUGAGUUGUUUACUUAUUUUUUUUAAGUGAGUUAUGUGAUAUUAUUGUUGUUAGCCUUACUAUGACAAUAGUUAGUUACAUGUUAAGGGCCGAUGAAAAAUCUAUUCGUCGGGUUUAGAGGCCUUUCCAUUUUAAAAGAUGGAAAUUUAAUUAAAGUUAAAAUUUUUAUUGUUAAAUUGGGCCAAUAAAAAAACUCUCCGUUGGUUUUAAGAGCCUUUCCAUUUUAAAAGACGGAAAUCUAAUUCAAGUUUAUAUAUAAUCUUAGUUGUUGGAAUUGGCCGAUGAAGAAACUACCGUCGAUUUUCAAGGCCUCCCAUGUUAAUAAGACGAAUUUUUAUUUUUUAGUUAUUAUGUGAGUUAUUCAUUUUUAUUUAUAUUUGUUUGAUACUAACUCUUUUACUAAGUGUUUACAGGUAUCCAGAGGUGCAUCUCCUUAAAAUUAUUCGAAUGAAGUUCGAAUCAUACUUUUAAUUUCAUUAUCUUGUGAAUAUUGAUGUUAGGCAAACUUUAGGCCGAUUGUUAUUUUGUUUUAUUUUGUAUAUUGCAUGUUUAUUAUAUCUGUAUAUUAUUUUAUAUUCUUCCUCAAUUUGAAAAAAAAUUGAAUUCAGUCUGGACCACAAUUAUGGAUUCCGAAGGGUGCCUAACCCCUUCCCUUCGGAAUAACUUGAACCCCUUACCUAGAAUCAAAUUGGUUUCGUAAAUUAUUUAAUGGUUUCCUAGUUUUCCUACAAAAUUAGGUGGCGACUCUUUUUAAAACUCGUUUAUUUUUAAAACUUUGUUAAAAUUGAAUCAAUUAAUAUAUUUUCGAGUUGUCGCGACGUUUCACCCUAUUUUAAAAGAGUAGGGAUGUAAACAAGAUCCACUAAUUUAGUUUCCAUUGCAAUUAGGUUUUACUUUAUUCUUUUGAUUUAUGUUUUACCCAAAAUCUACUGAGUUGUUGCUUCAAAUUCUACAAAUGUCUAGUGCUUCUCACUUGCAAUUAAGUUACAUUAUGUUUUUCCUAAUUUGCAGCUUUUCCACCGAUUCUUUUUUUUUUUGUUAAUUUUCUUCUUUUGAUAUAAGAUCCAAAGCUUUUGGACCAGAAAAUUGUAUGAUUUUUUUGGGGAUGCUAUAGUUAUUUGGAGAAGCACAAAGCCAAAGUAGAUAUAUUCUUUGAUAUGCAGUCUUAUUUGGGAGUAUCGACGAAGAUCUAAUCAAACAGAGAACCGCACAGCAAAGAGGUGAGGUGAAUAUAAAUCAUAGAUCCACUAAUUUAGUUUGCAGUGCAAUUAGGUUUUACUUUAUUCUUUUGAUUUAUAUUUUACCCAAAAUCUACUGAGUUGUUGCUUCCAAUUCUACAAAUGUCUAGUGCUUCACACUUGCAAUUAAGUUAAAUUAUGUUUUUCCUAAUUUGCAGCUUUUCCAACGAUUCUUUUUGUUUUAUUUUGUUAAUUUUCUUCUUUUGAUAAAGAUCCAAAGCUUUUGGACCAUAAAAUUGUAUGAUUUUGUUUGGGGAUGCUAUAGUUAUUUGGAGAAGCACAAAGCCAAAGUAGAUAUAUUCUUUGAUAUGCAGUCUUAACUGGGAGUAUCGACGAAAAUGUAAUCAAACGAAGACCCGCACAACAAAUAGGUGAGGUGAACAUAAAUAAUAGAUCCACUAAUUUACUUUCCAGUGCAAUUAGGUUUUACUUUAUUCUUUUGAUUUAUGUUUUACCAAAAAUCUACUGAGUUGUUGCUUCCAAUUCUACAAAUGUCUAGAGCCUCACACUUGUAAUUAAGUUAAAUUAUGUUUUUCCUAAUUUGCAUCUUUUCCACCGAUUUUUUUUUGUUAAUUUUCUUCUUUUGAUAUAAGAUCCAAAGCUUUUGGACCAGAAAAUUGUAUGAUUUUGUUUGGGGAUGCUAUAGUUAUUUGGAGAAGCACAAAGCCACAGUAGAUAUAUUCUUUGAUAUGCAGUCUUGAUUGGGAGUAUAGACGAAGAUCUAAUCAAACAGAGACCCGCACAACAAAGAGGUGAGGUGAACAUAAAUCAUAGAUCCACUAAUUUACUUUCCAGUGCAUUUAGGUUUUACUUUAUUCUUUUGAUUUAUGUUUUAUCCAAAAUCUACUGAUUUGUUGCUUCCAAUUCUACAAAUGUUUAGUGCUUCACACUUGCAAUUAAGUUACAUUAUGUUUUUCCUAAUUUGCAGCUUCUUUUUGUUUUUUUUGUUAAUUUUGUUCUUUUGAUACAAGAUCCAAAGCUUUUGGACCAGAAAAUUGUAUGAUUUUGUUUGAGGAUGCUAUAGUUAUUUGGAGAAGCACAAAGCCAAAGUAGAUAUAUUCUUUGAUAUGCAGUCUUAAUUGGGAGUAUCGACGAAGAUGUAAUCAAACGGAGACCCGUACAACAAAGAGGUGAGGUGAACAUAAAUCAUAGAUCCACUAAUUUAGUUUGCAGUGCAAUUAGGUUUUACUUUAUUCUUUUGAUUUAUGUUUUACCUAAAAUCUACUGAGUUGUUGCUUCCAAUUCUACAAAUGUCUAGUGCUUCAUACUUGCAAUUUAGUUAAAUUAUGUUUUUCCUAAUUUGCAGCUUUUCCAUCGAUUCUUUUUUUUUUGGUUAAUUUUCUUCUUUUGAUAUAAGAUCCAAAGCUUUUGGACCAGAAAAUUGUAUGAUUUUGUUUGGGGAUGCUAUAGUUAUUUGGAGAAGCACAAAGCCAAAGUAGAUAUAUUCUUUGAUAUGCAGUAUUAAUUGGGAGUAUCGACGAAGAUGUAAUCAAACGGAGACCUACACAACAAAGAGGUGAGGUGAACAUAAAUCAUAGAUCCACUAAUUUUUCUGUGUUUAUAGAUUUUCUUGUAUUCUUUUGUUUCCUCUGUUAUGGUCAAAAAUUGAUCCAUUCAGGUAAUAUAAAGCAACCCUUUUGAAUCUCCUCCUUAAUUUUGUUUCAUUUGCUAUGUUUUUUCACGCUACAUUUGAUUCUUAAAAUAUGACUGUUAGAGUCCAUAGGGUUCAACGUAAAUUGAGCUGAAGCCUAUGUUUUGUGUGUGAGAAGGUGGAGGGUUGGUGGUAAUGACAGAUGGAAUCCAAAAUUACGCCUGAAACUUUUGAUUAGAUUAAAGGCUCAGUCUUAUUUGUUCAUAAAAUGGAUUUCUUGCUAAAAUUUACUUGGGAAACCUAGGAUAUGGUAGGGCAUAUUGGUCAUAAAAUUAAUUUGAUAAUGUGGAUCCUUUUAAAAGAAAUCAUAAACCAUCCGACGUAUGGAUUUUAUGUUAAUGUUUUACAUAUAUCUCCAACAACAACAUACCUAGUAUAGUUUCAUAACGGAUAUUUAGGCAGAGUAGGAUGUAAGUAGACCUUAUUCUUGCUGGGGCUAAAGUGAUUGUUUUCAAUAGGCUCUCAACUCGAAAUUGAUGUGUUUGAAGUAAUCUCAAAGAGUAAUGCCAUGAGUAAUGUGCUGUCAAAAAAUAAAUUAUUUUGAAAACGAAAAAUCUAUAAACUGCAAAAAUAUAGAUGCCUCACUCGCUAGGCUGUAUCAACUUCAUGAUUUCUUUUGAACUUCACAUAUUGAUCCUUGUUUAAGAAAAACUUGCAUGUUUAAUGCUUUAACGUUCUUUGCUAUUCCAAGUUACUAUUUAAAAUUAUAUAAUUCUUGUAGCCAUUUAUGGUUGAGAGAACCCUAAUUUGAGCGAACCCUAAUGUGAGUUGUUAAAUAGUUAGUACAUUAUAAUUAAGUAUUAUGAACAAGUCAACAUAUAGGAAAAAUGCAAAAUCAGGAGUUCCUUUAGUUUUCGAUCAGAUAUUAUUAGUUUUUAACCUAACAUUGUAAAUAUUAUUUAAUAUGCAUAUGUAAUAAUAGCCUAUCAUAGUGACAAUUGACCAAUGCGUGUGGUACUAAUAGUUCUAGACAGGAUGAUCGUUUUUCCUCUUUCGCUUUCAUUCAAUAGCUCGUUUCAAUUUUCACUUAAAGUAAUGUUAAGAGUGUCGAUAUGUUGUAUGUUGCAUUUUAUAACCCUAACUACAAAAUGCAAUAAUUUCCUUUAGGUACAAUCAUACAGUCAGUGGAUCAUAUCCUCUGUUUGGGUUUUUCACGUUCACUACGCGGUGGCACCUUCAAGGUCAUUUAUCUCUAUGUAUCUCUUUGUCUUUACUCAAUCAAGUAAGUCAUCUUAUUCAAUGAUGGUUUGGUCUAUUUUUUCUUAAUUCUUGUUAGGAAAUUUUUCAGUAUUAGGGAAGUCUAGCAGCUCAUAGAACUAUCAUUUUCUUUUUAAAUAACUCUUUUUGGGACAAACUAAAAAGGAAAGUAAGACGUGUAAAUUGUAAUCAAUGAAGUAUUAUACUGUUGAGGAAAGUAGGAAAGUUCAAAGUGCUCAAAUUUUCAAUUUAUAUUUUUUUUUCUCUUUUAUAUUUGUAUUUACUCGUUAAUUUGAUUAUGAUUUUCAUACUUAGUAGGCGAAAGUUUUCGUGUAUUUUCUACUUGUAUAGUAAAAGUUAAUACUCCUAUACAACAACUCUAAUGCUUGCUUUAGCUGAUAUAGUAUAUAAUAUUAUGAUCAUAAUUUAGUGAUUUCAUAAGUCUAGAUAUGAUUGAGACUAAUUAAUAUAUUGGUUGAUUUUUUUAACAUGCCAACCAUCUGUAUAUGCUUGGGAAUCUAAGACUUGGAUAUGCAAGAAUAUGUUACUGUUAAAUGUUUAGACUUGGUUUUUGCUCUAAUUUGAGAUAUCUUUUUAUCCAUGAUACUCUCUUUUAUCAUACUUUGUUGAGUUCAUUAAUUAGACAAUUGAGUUGUCUUGGAGAUGUGUUACUUUGCGAAAGUAAAUCCAAUUCACUAAUAGAUGAUGUGGUUUAGUCAACAUCUUAAGGAUAAUACAGAUCAAAUUGAAUGUUGAUCUUUUUUAAUUUUUUUAAAUAAAAUGGUUUGGCUCAAGGCCAAUUUAUUCAAAACAAAUUAUAUACAAGCUAAAGCUAAAAACCUGGCCAAGAACAGGUCAUGACUAUCUAAACAGGAAAUAAGCAAAAUGAAACAAAGGAUAAAAGAAAAGAAAUGUUAAAACUAAAGAAGUAACUAAAAGGAAAGUGAAAAACCCAUGGAUGAACUCUGUGUAACAUGUGAUCCUAGAUAUUCACCCCUAAACUUGGACAUUGAGCUCAUCUAAAUUGUUGCUGCUCUGUCGGAAAUCAACAAGAUUGACCUUAGAAGGUAAGAGACGAGGGAGGUAAGUAGCAUUCUUGGAGCGUAAUCAAUUUCUUGUGCGAUAAAAUCGUUUUAUCUUCAGCUCCAACUUAUUGAUGACAUUUCUAUCUCAAGUUUUGGGUGAUGCCACUAUGAGACACCUGCAGGAUCUGAUAGGAGAAGUGACUUCUUACCCAAAAGAAUCCUUUCUCAAACUUGAGGAGAAAUGAUAUAAGAUGAAGCUGAAGUUUAAGAUGACAGAUAGUCCUUAACUAUUGAGGUAGGCUUUAUUAGGAGUGCCUUGUUUGUAAUUUUCAUUGUUUUUCUUCUAGCAGAAUGAACCUCCAAGGCAAUUGAUACCACAUACCAGAAAAAUCACAAUAGAAUCCACGAACUAGCUUUCCAAAUGGAAUUGUAAAAUCCUAUAUUUUUACUUCCUGUUGUGUUUUCGCAAAUGAUUUACUGUUUGGACCUUUGGCUUACUCAAUUUUUGUUAAUCAGUCCUAGCCGUUGUGUUGGAAAUAGCCAUUUAAUUUUGUUCCCUUUCUCUUAUCACCUUGAAUCAUAUUGUAGUCACUUAAAAUUUAUUGAAUAUAAAUUUAUGAAGUUAUUCGGAUUAUAUUAAAUUAAUGAAUAUAUUAGUCCAAAUAAAUAUUAUGGGAUUAACAUAAUUGAUUUAAUUAUUUAAAUUCAGAUAAAUAUGAAUUUAAUUAAAGUCCGCUCCAUAAAACCCAUAUGAUAUUUCACUUAAAUCUAAUUGGCCGAAGAGAAUUAUUUUCCAAUCGCAACUCCUCCAUUCUAAAACUAUAAAUAGGGGUCUCAUAAUUUAGAAAAAGAGAACCAAGAAAAUUCUAAGCAAGAAGCUAGAGAAAAUCCGUGGUGCAAACACCGUUUAAUUCUCUACAAAGCUACAAGUUUAAGAAUUCAAGCAUUCAAAUUCAAGAACGAUCAAGAUCAAGACCAUUGAAUUCAAGAACAAGCUCGAAGCCCUUGAAUUCAAAUAAAAGUCAAGAUCAAGAUAAAGUUCAAGUUCAAGUUGAAUAAAGAUUCAACAACAAGCUUUAAAGCCCUUGAAUAUAUAUUUGAAAAGGCGAAUUCAGAGGAAUCAUAGAAAUUGUAACACUCGCAUUUGAAAAGAGAAAAUCGAUUGUUGCUAUAAUUUUUCGUUCUUGAUUAUUGUUUUCUAGGCGCAAAUCUUAUUGUCUGCACAUAUACUUGGAUUUUGUUGUUUAUGUGUGUGAAUUAUCUUUUUAGCUUCUGAUGGGAGUUCCUGAAAAUUAUUGCAUUGAAUAGAGACAAUAAAACACCACCACCCCUCUCUUCCCUUUUCCCUGCAUUUAUUUCACUUCUCAUUUGUGUUCCAAUUUUGUAAGAUCUACCCAUGUUCUCUUCAUUUGUGCAUAUUUCUCCAGAUCUCAGUUCAAAAAUGCGUGAAAUCAUUGGUAUUCAAGGUGGACAAUGUGGUAACCAAAUUGGUGCCAAGUUUCGGGAAGGUUUUUGUGCCAAACAUGACAUUGAUUCUACGCGUCGUUACAAUGGUGAUUCUGAUCUCCACUUGAGAGAAUUAGUGUAUUACAAUGAGGUUACCAGUGGAAGAUUUGUUCCUAGGGAUGUUCUUAUUGAUUUAGAGCACCAUGGACAAUAUUAAAUCUGGUCCUUAUGGACAGACACUCCAUCAUGAUAACUUUGUUUUUGGACAAGCUGGUGCUGGUAACAAUUGGGCUAAAGUACAUUACACCGAAGGUGCUGAAUAGAUUGAUGUCGUUAUCGAUCUAGUUAAUAAGGAAGUCGAAAACUCUGACUGCCUUCAAGGUUUGUGUUUCUACCAGGAUUUUCUUUAACAUUUUGUGUUCAUUUGGUGUUUUUGUAGAUCUAUGCAUUUUGAGGAUUUAUUUACGUUCUAUGUGUUUGAUUUUUCGGAUUUCAAUUGUGGCAUUCAUAGGGUAGGGGAAGAGGUUUUUUUUAUGGGAACACUUCUGAUCUUAAAGAUCAGAGAAGAAUACCUGGACAGAAUAAUGCUUACCUUCUCCGUUUUCACUUCACCUAAAGUUCCUGACAUUGUUGUUGAGCCUUAUAAUGCUACCUUUGCCGUGCAUCAUCAAUUGGUUAAAAAUGCCGAUGAGUGCAUGCUUCUUGAUAAUGAGGUUCUAUAUGACAUCUUCUUCAGAACCCUAAAGUUCAUCACCCCAAGCUGUAAGUCAUUUCAGCAUCUCGAUUGCACUUUUCUUUGCGUCAUCUGUUUGAUUGUUAUUAGCUGAGCAUGUUUGAUAUUUCUUGUUAGUUUUUUAUUUAUCACUUUGAAGUUAUGAAUCAUCUGAUAUAUUUCUUGUAUAAAAGCUUUAUUAGCUAAAGAAUCGGCUAGCUGGUUCCGUUCUCUUAGAAUACGUAACACCUGGAAAUCCCUCCUUCUCUCCCACUCUUAGAUCUUCUGAACCUCCAUACUAAUAGGCCAUGGACUGUUACAAUCUUCAUCAAUCACCUUCUUGAUGAUUGGGUUUGUAGAUUUCCAACUUUUGCAUCAUAAGUGGCCAGAUGUUAGAGAUCUUUGGUUCCCAUGGGGAACCUCAUUCUAGCCAAGAGAUUGAGGUUCUGAUUUAUGUCAUUAAUAACUCUAUUUCAUGAUAUUGAACCUUCUUGAAAAAGAUAUUUCUUUUCUUCCGUAGAUUCCAUAUAUGAUGGCUGGGACAGUAAGAUAUAGUGGUUUCAGUUAAUUAGAAGAACCGUCAGCUUUCCACAAUUGUGUUGCAACUUGAUUUAACUGAAUAAAUGAGCCCUUAAGCUAUUGCAGCAAGGUGUGUUCAGAUGUUCUUAGCAUAAUCUCUUGUUAAGAGCAAAUGUAGCAUAGUUUCCUGUUGAUAGAUCUCACAACACCUGCACCAUUCUUGCUUAACAAAUUCUUUGUUAACACAUUGUCCAAGGAAAAAGAACUCGUGAGACCACUGAUAAAAUUCAUCCCACAAAAAAAGUCCAAACUAACGUGAAAGAGUUGUCAGUACUCAUCAAGAAUUAUACAGCACAAGACCAUGAUUUGCUAGCAAGUUUGCUUUGAAGAACUCAAAUAAGAGACUUUGUUUACUGCAUAUAGACUUGGAGGUGAUAGAGUUCUUGAAUAUAAAUUAGCGGUGAAAGUUUAAGGAAUGGAGAGCUAUGUACAUUCUGUCAUUGGUAUAGAAAGUUACAUCAAUGGAAGAUAGUUCAACAUUUUCAUGAAUUAUAUAUGCAGCUUAGUCAAUAUUACAUGAACCAGUGAUGAAUGUAGAAGGAAUGAAGCUUUAUUAUGUGUAAGUUUGAAAACAAAACCCUCCUAACUAGCAGCCUCAAAAUAACUAAAGAUUUUAUCAUCCAACUAAAGAUAUGUGAAUCGAAUCAUGUGAAGUCAAAUUCUGUUGCAACAAAGUCCAAAAAGACACUAGUUGUACAUAACUUAAGGAUUAUAUGCAUAGGUGUUAUGAAACCCCAUAUACUGCCCUUACUUGAUCUUUCUAAUUGUGCAAUAUAAAGACAAAAUAGAUAUACCUUUCUUGCAUAACAUAUCACCCACUGAUAAUUUUCACUUUCAUAGGAUCCAUAAAUAGAAAGUUAAUUUAUAAGGUAGACUAGUAAUGCAGAUUUUACUAAAAACCCAUUGUUGCUCCUCUUUCUUGUUGAAGAUUAAGAAUGAUAUUUUUCAUAUGUAUAUUUAUUUAGUGAAUUAAUUAUGAUUAAGAUAUUGGGUCCUAGUUGUGAAUUACAUGAAGCAGUUUUAUUACAGCAAAUGCUUGGUAAGCUUCUAAUUUUUUUACUUGUAUGGUAGACUUGAUAUAGAAUUAAGGUUUUGAAAGUUGAUAUUUGUUUUAAUUCUUGAGUUGAAUACUUAUGAACUCAUAUUCGUUAUUGGGGCUGACAAAAGAUCUACAAUAAAUAGAUGGACAAAAUAGUGUUUAGGUAGUAGGUGAGGUUUUGUUAAUACGAACUCCAACAUGAUGCAUGACUUUUCAUCGAUCUAGGCAAUGCAUGCAACGUUGUCUUUAAUCAUUUUAUUUUGUUCAAUUGUUAGGGAUUAGCUAAAUUGCACAUUAAAUGUUCAUAGAUUCUAAUACUUCACAUAUUAAGAGUUGAGUUAAUACAGUUCUCAAAUAUCAGCAUUUUGAUAAUACAUGUGUAGCAGGUUGUGCGAGGAUAAUGGUGUGCUCAUUGCUCUCUAAAAUAACAAAAAAAUUGUUCUUUCAAGGUACAUAGUCUUGCUCACCCAAUAUGACCUUCAUAUUAGUUUGCUUGCAAUUUUAUUUAGUGUUUAUGAUCAUUACAACAUAUUGAAUACAUAGAUUGUGUUACAGAUUCCAUCUUUUUACCUCAAUAUGAACACACUUUGAAUUAAAUGAUAAUUUUGCCCCUUUUUUUCCACAGUUAUAAGAAGUGAGAAUUGAAUCAAGACUACUUGAAAGCUAAAUGUCGCCAUAUUUUUUAUACUUUAGAGGAAACUCCAGGUAUUUGUCUUACUUUAAGGAGUAAUAUUUAGUUAUCAAGUAUAUGACAUAUUUACUUUUAUUAAGGAGCUUGAAAUGAGAUAUUAUCUAGUAUAGUUUUAGUUAAUAUUUAUUGUAUGAUCAUGGGUGUUUAAUUAUUCUAUUUAUAGAAUAGUUUUAGUUAAUAUGUAUAGUUUUAGUUAAUAUUUAUUGUAGGAAUCCUACGUGUGAGCUUCUAAGUUUCAAGGGAAAAAGGAAGCAUAACAGAAGUAGGAUUUCUAGUUGAAAUAGGUUUUAGAUUCAAGUCCAAAUCUAUAAAUAGGGCGAUAGUAUCGCUUGAGAAAAAAUGUGCACUUACAUAGAGAGACGAUCAAAACACGAUCAAGAGUUUUGAGAGUUACUUGGGAGUGUUACCAAUUUGUGAGGAAAAAGUUGUAAAAUUGUAACUAAGAGUUUUGACUACAAUCGAGUGUGUGUGUAGGAUUCGUCUAACAAAUUUGAGAAACUUGACGGACGAUGGAAGACUUAAACCUAGAGGUUUCUGUCUUGGAUAGGUAGGAAUUAGAGUUUAUAAUUUCUUAGCUUGGAAUUAGAGUUUAUAAUUCCUUAGGUUACAUAGGCUUGUAAUCUUAUGUAGCACGUUUAUUCCAAAUAAUAAUGCAUGCAUAUUAUAUUUUUCACGCAACCAAUAAAUUUUUAAAGUUCAGAAAUUGAUAUUGUAGAACAUAAAAAAAUUGUUAUAAAGAAAUAAGAGAUUCUUACCAGAUAAAUAUAGUUAAUUAUUAAAUUAUCACAUAUAAUUAUAGUUAUACACAAUAUCUUAUCCUAUAUUUAUGAUUUAUAGCCACCAAAAUUGAGAGAUAUGGUACGUGUGCCUAUUCCACCUUGGAGUUAUGGUGCGUUGACUCAGGUAAAGGAUGACUAUCCUAUGUAACUAUUUACAACGAUUGUGGGGUGUUUUUAUGUUAGAUAUGUAUGGAGGAAUGGACAUGAGUGUGAAUUGUAGUGUGUGCGUAAAUCUUAGACACAAGAAGUCUCGGCAAACAUUGGAGAAACAUCCCUUUGUUGACAGUCGUACUGUGUUGCGCAACGUAUUACCGUGUAUAAACAGUGGUAAUGACAUUGUUGUGAUCUACACAAUUGAAAGGAUAUAUCUUUAUUACUUGAAUGGACAGAAGGUGGAGAUCUGCUAUUAAGACUAUAGGACAAUUAAAUCCUAAGAGAAGAUACAUACCGUACACAAACAACCUCGAUACGGUACAUAAGCUGAAGUAGCACUUAUUCUGUUGCAGUCAAGUAGAAUUCUCAUGUUUAAUUUCAUCUUCUUUUGUUUUUAUAUGACUUGAAUUUCAGAUUAAGUUGUUUUUGUAAUAGACAUGGAUUGCCAAGGUAGUUUGAACGUUUUUUCCUUUACCCAUUUCUAAUUAUUUCUUGCUUGAUUGCGUGUUUUUACUUGUAAGUAAAAACACCCAAUCAAGAAAAUAAUUAAAAAUGAGUGAAGGAAAAAAUGUUCAUACUACAUUGGUAAUCAAAAACAUGUCUAUUACAAAACAGCUUAAUCUGAAUUCCAAGUCAUAUAAUAACGAAAAAAGAUGAAAUUAAACAUGAGAAUUCUACUUGAAAUUAAUAGAACAACUACUACUUCAGCUCAUGUAACAUAGCGAGGCUGUUUGUGUACGGUAUGAAUCUUCUCUUAGGAUUUAAUUGUCCUAGAGUCAUAAUAGUAGAUCUCCACCUUUAGUCCAUUCAAGUAAUAAAGAUGUAUUCUUUCAGUUGUGUAGAUCACCACAAUGUCAUCACCACUGUUUAUACACGGCAAUGCGUCGCACAAAACAGUACCAUUGUCAACAAAGGGUUUCUCCAAUGUUUGCCGAGACUUCUUGUGUUCAAGAUAUAUGUACACACUAUGAUUCAGACUCAUGUCCAUUGCUCCGUACAUAUCUAACAUAAAAACAUCCCUGCAGUCGUUGUAAACAGUUACAUAGGAUAGCUCAUCCUUUACCUGAGUCAACGCACCAUAUCUCCCAGGUGGAAUAGGAACAUGUACAACUGCUGCAACCUCAUUUUUUGCAUCAAAUACUAGCACACCAUGUUUUACUAAUACCAAGAAAAACACAUUUAUCACAUCUAUUAUCAAGCUUCUUUCUUUUUGCUUUUGAAAUAUGUGCAUAAGCAAUGUAUCCAAAAAUUUUGAAGUUGUCUACUGUCGAUUUCCUUCUGCUCCAAACUUCCAUGGGUAUUACAUCUCGAAGAGAAAAAGUGGAACUUCUGUUCAAGAUAAGAAUGCUCCUGUUAGGUACAUAUGAAUAUGUAUAUUUUAAAGACUGACAAUCCGGUGAAUUAUGGAGCAAGCUGAGCAAAUGUGAAUUGAGUCGCCAAAGUUUACUGGAAGAGGAAUUAGGAGGCUGACUUAAAGUAGGAAAACUGCAACCUAAUGACAACAAAAGAAGCAUAAGAUUAUAGUUAUUAUAAUUCAUUCAGAGAAAGAAAAACUAUUUCCUACUUGGUUAAGGAUAUAGUUUGAGGAAGUCAAGACAAAGAAGGAGAGUUAUUUUCUACUUGUUUAAGUAAAUAGUUUGAGGUGGCAUAGUUUAUAAGGAAAAACAUAUAUGAAGAUUCCUUUCAAUGCAUAGUAUAAAGAGAAGUCCUAUUGCUACAAGGUUUUGUUCCAGCGGCAAAGACAAGGUUGUUCGAGUUGAAGAUGCGGCAAAGUUAUGAUCUAGUUGAAGAAAGAGUUGAAGAUGGGUCGAACGCGAAUUUCACACAAUGUAGGAAUCUUACGUGUGAGCUUCUAAGUUUCAAGAGAAAAAGGAAGCAUAACAGAAGUAGGAUUUCUAGUUGAAAUAGGUUUUAAAUUCAAGUCCAAAUCUAUAAAUAGGACGAUAGUUUCGCUUGAGAAAAAAUGUGCACUUACAUAGAGAGACGAGCAAAAUACGAUCAAGUGUUUUAAGAGUUACUUGGGAGUGUUACCAAUUUGUGAGGAAAAAGUUUUAAAAUUGUAAUUAAGAGUUUUGAUUGCAAUAGAGUGUGUGUAGAGGAUUCGUCUAACAAAUUUGAGAAACUUGACGGACGAUGGAAGACUUAAACCUAGAGGUUUUUGUCUUGGGUAGGUAGGAAUUAGAGUUUAUAAUUUCUUAGGUUGGAAUUAGAGUUUACAAUUCCUUAGGUUACAUAGGCUUGUAAUCUUAUGUAGAAGUUUGGAGUUUAAUAAAGUGGAAUUAAAUCCUACAGAGGUAUAUGUCGUGGUUUUUACCCUUUACUAGUUUUCAGAAACGUGCGUUGCACGUUUAUUCCAAAUAAUAAUGCAUGCAUAUUAUAUUUUUCAUGCAACCAAUAAAUUUUUAAAGUUCAGAAAUUGAUAUUGUAGAACAUAAAAAAAAUGUUAUAAAGAAAUAAGAGAUUCUUACCAAAUCAAUAUAGUUAAUUAUUGAAUUAUCACAUAUAACUCUAGUUAUACACUAUAUGUUGUCCUAUAUUUAUGAUUUAUAUCCACCAAAAUUGAGAGAUAUGGUACGUGUGCCUAUUCCACCUUGGAGAUAUGGUGCGUUGACUCAAGUAAAGGAUGACUAUCCUAUGUAACUAUUUACAACGAUUGUGGGGUGUUUUUAUGUUAGAUAUGUACGGAGGAAUGGACAUGAGUGUGAAUUGUAGUGUGUGCGUAAAUCUUUGACACAAGAAGUCUCGGCAAACAUUGAAGAAACAUCCCUUUGUUGACAGUCGUACUUUGUUGCGCAACGUAUUACCAGGUAUAAACAGUGGUAAUGACAUUGUUGUGAUCUACACAAUUGAAAGGAUAUAUCUUUAUUACUUGAAUGGACAGAAGGUGGAGAUCUGCUAUAAGACUCUAGGACAAUUAAAUCCUAAGAGAAGAUACAUACCAGACACAAACAACCUCGACACGGUGCAUGAGCUGAAGUAGUACUUAUUCUGUUGCAAUCAAGUAGAAUUCUCAUGUUUAAUUUCAUCUUCUUUUGUUUUUAUAUGACUUGAAUUUCAGAUUAAGUUGUUUUUGUAAUAGACAUGGAUUGCCAAGGUAGUUUGAACGAUUUUUCCUUUACCCAUUUCUAAUUAUUUCUUGCUUGAUUGCGUGUUUUUACUUGUGAGUUCCUUUUUACUGCUACAUGAUCUGAAGAAGUAGCUAUUGUGUUGCAGAUCAUACCACACAUUCUAUCGUAAAAUUUAAACAGUAGUAGUAGAAAGGAACUCACAAGUAAAAACACCCAAUCAAGCAAGAAAUAAUUAAAAAUGAGUGAAGGAAAAAAUGUUCACACUACAUUGGUAAUCUAAAACAUGUCUAUUACAAAACAGCUUAAUCUGAAUUCCAAGUCAUAUAAUAACGAAAAAAGAUGAAAUUAAACAUGAGAAUUCUACUUGACAUUAACAGAACAACUACUACUUCACCUCAUGUGACGUAGCGAGGCUGUUUGUGUACGGUAUGAAUCUUCUCUUAGGAUUUAAUUGUCCUAGAGUCAUAAUAGUAGAUCUCCACCUUUUGUCCAUUCAGGUAAUAAAGAUGUAUUCUUUCAGGUGUGUAGAUCACCACAAUGUCAUCACCACUGUUUAUACACGGCAAUGCGUCGCACAAAAUAGUACAAUUGUCAACAAAGGGUUUCUCCAAUGUUUGCCGAGACUUCUUGUGUUCAAGAUAUAUGUACACACUAUGAUUCAGACUCAUGUCCAUUGCUCCGUACAUAUCUAACAUAAAAACAUCCCUGCAAUCGUUGUAAACAGUUACAUAGGAUAACUAAUCCUUUACCUGAGUCAACGCACCUUGUCUCCCAGGUGGAAUAGGAACAUGUACAACUACUGCAACCUCAUUUUUUGCAUCAAAUGCUAGCACACCAUGUUUUACUAAUACCAAGAAAAACACAUUUAUCACCUCUAUUAUCAAGCUUCUUUCUUUUUGCUUUUGAAAUAUGUGCAUAAGCAAUGUAUCCUAAAUUUUUGAAGUGGUCUACUGUUGAUUUCCUUCUGCUCCAAACUUCCAUGGGUAUUACAUCUCGAAGACAAAAAGUGGAACUUCUGUUCAAGAUAAGAAUGCUCCUGUUAGGUACAUAUGAAUAUGUAUAUUUUAUAGACUGACAAUCCGGUGAAUUAUGGAGCAAGCUGAGCAAAUGUGAAUUGAGUCGCCAAAGUUUACUGGAAGAGGAAUUAGGAGGCUGACUUAAAGUAGGAAAACUGCAACCUAAUGACAACAAAAGAAGCAUAAGAUUAUAGUUAUUAUAAUUCAUUCAGAGAAAGAAAAACUAUUUCCUACUUGGUUAAGGAUAUAGUUUGAGGCAGUCAAGACAAAGAAGGAAAGUUAUUUUCUACUUGUUUAAGUAAAUAGUUUGAGGUGGCAUAGUUUAUAAGGAAAAUCAUAUAUGAAGUUUCCUUUCAAUGCAUAGUAUAAAGAGAAGUCCUAAUGCUACAAGGUUUUGUUCCAGUGGCAAAGACAAGGUUGUUCGAGUUGAAGAUGCGGCAAAGUUAUGUUCUAGUUGAAGAAAGAGUUUAAGAUGGGUCGAACGCGAAUUUCACACAAUAUAGGAAUCUUACGUGUGAGCUUCUAAGUUUCAAGAGAAAAAGGAAGCAUAACAGAAGUAGGAUUUCUAGUUGAAAUAGAUUUUAAAUUCAAGUCCAAAUCUAUAAAUAGGGUGAUAGUUUCGCUUGAGAAAAAAUGUGCACUUACAUAGAGAGACGAUCAAAACACGAUCAAGAGUUUUGAGAGUUACUUGGGAGUGUUACCAAUUUGUGAGGAAAAAUUUUUAAAAUUGUAAUUAAGAGUUUUGAUUGCAAUAGUGUGUGUGUGUGUGUAGGAUUCGUCUAACAAAUUUGAGAAACUUGACGGACGAUGGAAGACUUAAACCUAGAGGUUUUUGUCUUGGGUAGGUAGGAAUUAGAGUUUAUAAUUUCUUAGGUUGGAAUUAGAGUUUACAAUUCCUUAGGUUACAUAGGCUUGUAAUCUUAUGUAGAAGUUUGGAGUUUAAUAAAGUGGAAUUAAAUCCUACAGAUGUAUAUGUCGUGGUUUUUACCCUUUACUAGUUUUCAGAAACGUGCGUUGCACGUUUAUUCCAAAUAAUAAUGCAUGCAUAUUAUAUUUUUCAUGCAACCAAUAAAUUUUUAAAGUUCAGAAAUUGAUAUUGUAGAACAUAAAAAAAUGUUAUAAAGAAAUAAGAGAUUCUUACUAAAUCAAUAUAGUUAAUUAUUGAAUUAUCACAUAUAAUUCUAGUCAUACACUAUAUCUUGUCCUAUAUUUAUGAUUUAUAUCCACCAAAAUUGAGAGAUAUGGUACGCGUGCCUAUUCCACCUUGGAGAUAUGGUGCGUUGACUCAAGUAAAGGAUGACUAUCCUAUGUAACUAUUUACAACGAUUGUGGGGUGUUUUUAUGUUAGAUAUGUACGGAGGAAUGGACAUGAGUGUGAAUUGUAGUGUGUGCGUAAAUCUUUGACACAAGAAGUCUCGGCAAACAUUGGAGAAACAUCCCUUUGUUGACAGUCGUACUGUGUUGCGCAACGUAUUACCGUGUAUAAACAGUGGUAAUGACAUUGUUGUGAUCUACACAAUUGAAAGGAUAUAUCUUUAUUACUUGAAUGGACAGAAUGUGGAGAUCUGCUAUUAAGACUCUAGGACAAUUAAAUCCUAAGAGAAGAUACAUACCGUACACAAACAACCUCGAUACGGUACAUGAGCUGAAGUAGUACUUAUUCUGUUGCAAUCAAUUAGAAUUCUCAUGUUUAAUUUCAUCUUCUUUUGUUUAUAUAUGACUUGAAUUUCUGAUUAAGUUGUUUUUGUAAUAGACAUGGAUUGCCAAGGUAGUUUGAACGAUUUUUCCUUUACCCAUUUCUAAUUAUUUCUUGCUUGAUUGCGUGUUUUUACUUGUGAGUUCCUUUUUACUGCUACAUGAUCUGAAGAAGUAGCUAUUGUGUUGCAGAUCAUACCACACAUUCUAUCGUCAAAUUUAAACAGUAGUAGUAGAAAGGAACUCACAAGUAAAAACACCCAAUCAAGCAAGAAAUAAUUAAAAAUGAGUGAAGGAAAAAAUGUUCACACUACAUUGGCAAUCAAAAACAUGUCUAUUACAAAGCAGCUUAAUCUUAAAUCCAAGUCAUGUAAUAACA
rnacentral:lncRNA from 1 species